AGAGUUUGAUCCUGGCUCAGAGUGAACGUUGGCGGCGUGGAUUAGGCAUGCAAGUCGAGCGAUCGUAGCAAUACGGGAGCGGCAAACGGGGUAGGAAUACAUCGGAACGUACCUUUUGGUUGAGAAUAGCGUUGGGAAACUGACGGUAAUACUCAAUAAAGUCGAGAGACCAAAGGUUUACUGCCGGAAGAGCGGCCGAUGCGAUAUUAGGUAGUUGGUGGGGUAAUGGCCUACCAAGCCUGAGAUGUCUAGGGGGUGUGAGAGCAUGGCCCCCACCACUGGGACUGAGAUACUGCCCAGACACCUACGGGUGGCUGCAGUCGAGGAUCUUCGUCAAUGGGCGAAAGCCUGAACGAGCGACGCCGCGUGGCGGGAUGAAGGCCCUUGGGUUGUAAACCGCUAUCAGGGGGGAUGAAACCGUAAGGUUGACAGAGCCCCAGAGGAAGCACGGGCUAAGUUCGUG
rnacentral:rRNA from 1 species